CAGCACCUCAAGUGGUCAGGAUGAUUAUUGGGCCUAAAGCAUCCGUAGCCGGCGCUGUAAGUUUUCGGUUAAAUCUUUACGCUCAACGUACAGGCUGCCGGGAAUACUGCAGCGCUAGGGAGUGGGAGAGGUAGACGGUACUCGGUAGGAAGGGGUAAAAUCCUUUGAUCUAUUGAUGACCACCUGUGGCGAAGGCGGUCUACCAGAACACGUCCGACGGUGAGGGAUGAAAGCUGGGGGAGCAAACCGGAUUAGAUACCCGAGUAGUCC
rnacentral:rRNA from 1 species